AUUAAUUUGACAGAAAAUUGUAAUAAAUUUAGAAUUUAUUUAUGUAUUAAGGAAUACAAUUAAUA
rnacentral:tRNA from 1 species